CACGUAGGGUGCGAGCGUUGUCCGGAAUUAUUGGGCGUAAAGAGCUCGUAGGCGGCUUGUCGCGUCGACUGUGAAAACCCGCAGCUCAACCGCGGGCCUGCAGCCGAUACGGGCAGGCUAGAGUUCGGUAGGGGAGACUGGAAUUCCUGGUGUAGCGGUGAAAUGCGUAGAUAUUGGGAGGAACACCAGUGGCGAAGGCGGCUACCUGGACCGGUUCUGACGCUGAGGCGCGAAAGCGUGGGUAGCAAACAGG
rnacentral:rRNA from 1 species